rnacentral:rRNA from 1 species
GAUGAACGCUAGCGGGAGGCCUAACACAUGCAAGCCGAGCGGUAUUAUUUCUUCGGAAAUGAGAGAGCGGCGUACGGGUGCGGAACACGUGUGCAACCUGCCUUUAUCUGGGGGAUAGCCUUUCGAAAGGAAGAUUAAUACUCCAUAAUAUAUUGAACGGCAUCGUUUAAUAUUGAAAGCUCCGGCGGAUAGAGAUGGGCACGCGCAAGAUUAGCUAGUUGGUGAGGUAACGGCUCACCAAGGCGAUGAUCUUUAGGGGGCCUGAGAGGGUGAUCCCCCACACUGGUACUGAGACACGGACCAGACUCCUACGGGAGGCAGCAGUGAGGAAUAUUGGUCAAUGGGUGCAAGCCUGAACCAGCCAUCCCGCGUGAAGGACGACUGCCCUAUGGGUUGUAAACUUCUUUUGUAUAGGGAUAAACCUACUCUCGUGAGGGUAGCUGAAGGUACUAUACGAAUAAGCACCGGCUAACUCCGUGCCAGCAGCCGCCGUAAAAC